AGAGUUUGAUCCUGGCUCAGGACGAACGCUGGCGGCGCGCCUAACACAUGCAAGUCGAACGAGCGAGAGAGAGCUUGCUUUCUCGAGCGAGUGGCGAACGGGUGAGUAACGCGUGAGGAACCUGCCUCAAAGAGGGGGACAACAGUUGGAAACGACUGCUAAUACCGCAUAAGCCCACGGCUCGGCAUCGAGCAGAGGGAAAAGGAGCAAUCCGCUUUGAGAUGGCCUCGCGUCCGAUUAGCUAGUUGGUGAGGUAACGGCCCACCAAGGCGACGAUCGGUAGCCGGACUGAGAGGUUGAACGGCCACAUUGGGACUGAGACACGGCCCAGACUCCUACGGGAGGCAGCAGUGGGGAAUAUUGCACAAUGGGGGAAACCCUGAUGCAGCGACGCCGCGUGGAGGAAGAAGGUCUUCGGAUUGUAAACUCCUGUUGUUGAGGAAGAUAAUGACGGUACUCAACAAGGAAGUGACGGCUAACUACGUGCCAGCAGCCGCGGUAAAACGUAGGUCACAAGCGUUGUCCGGAAUUACUGGGUGUAAAGGGAGCGCAGGCGGGAAGACAAGUUGGAAGUGAAAUCCAUGGGCUCAACCCAUGAACUGCUUUCAAAACUGUUUUUCUUGAGUAGUGCAGAGGUAGGCGGAAUUCCCGGUGUAGCGGUGGAAUGCGUAGAUAUCGGGAGGAACACCAGUGGCGAAGGCGGCCUACUGGGCACCAACUGACGCUGAGGCUCGAAAGUGUGGGUAGCAAACAGGAUUAGAUACCCUGGUAGUCCACACCGUAAACGAUGAUUACUAGGUGUUGGAGGAUUGACCCCUUCAGUGCCGCAGUUAACACAAUAAGUAAUCCACCUGGGGAGUACGACCGCAAGGUUGAAACUCAAAGGAAUUGACG
rnacentral:rRNA from 1 species